rnacentral:rRNA from 1 species
UACAGAGGGUGCAAGCGUUGUUCGGAAUUAUUGGGCGUAAAGCGCGUGUAGGCGGCUUGCUAAGUCAGACGUGAAAUCCCCGGGCUUAACCUGGGAACUGCGCUUGUAACUGGCAAGCUUGAGUGUGGCAGAGGGGGGUGGAAUUCCACGUGUAGCAGUGAAAUGCGUAGAGAUGUGGAGGAACACCGAUGGCGAAGGCAGCCCCCCUGGGUCAAGAUUGACGCUCAUGCACGAAAGCGUGGGGAGCAAACAGG